rnacentral:rRNA from 1 species
UUCGUAGGGUGCGAGCGUUGUCCGGAAUCACUGGGCGUAAAGGGUGCGUAGGCGGCCGCUUAAGUCCUGUGUGAAAGGCUCCGGCUUAACCGGAGACGGCCAUGGGAAACUGGGCGGCUUGAGUGCCGGAGAGGGUGGCGGAAUUCCCGGUGUAGCGGUGAAAUGCGUAGAGAUCGGGAGGAACACCAGUGGCGAAGGCGGCCACCUGGACGGUAACUGACGCUGAGGCACGACAGCUGGGGGAGCAAACAGGG